rnacentral:rRNA from 1 species
GACGAACGCUGGCGGCGUGCUUAACACAUGCCAGUCGAACGGAAAGGCCCUGCUUUUGUGGGGUGCUCGAGUGGCGAACGGGUGAGUAACACGUGAGUAACCUGCCCUUGACUUUGGGAUAACUUCAGGAAACUGGGGCUAAUACCGGAUAGGAGCUCCUGCUGCAUGGUGGGGGUUGGAAAGUUUCGGCGGUUGGGGAUGGACUCGCGGCUUAUCAGCUUGUUGGUGGGGUAGUGGCUUACCAAGGCUUUGACGGGUAGCCGGCCUGAGAGGGUGACCGGCCACAUUGGGACUGAGAUACGGCCCAGACUCCUACGGGAGGCAGCAGUGGGGAAUAUUGCACAAUGGGCGGAAGCCUGAUGCAGCAACGCCGCGUGCGGGAUGACGGCCUUCGGGUUGUAAACCGCUUUCGCCUGUGACGAAGCGUGAGUGACGGUAAUGGGUAAAGAAGCACAGGCUAACUACGUG